GGGAGAGGACUUUGGCACCUGCAGAGACAUUUGUCAAGGUAUAUCUCCAUACAAGGGUUAUUCUUCUGAAUAUUCUUUUAGGUUAAAUGAUUAGUAGUAGACAGUCAUAACGGACUGUCUACUGAAAUAAAGGCAUGAAGGAGGAUUUAGUAGUAAAUUAAGAAUAGAGAGCUUAAUUGAAAUAGGCAAUAGGGUGCGUACACACCGCCCGUCACCCUCCUCGAUAAAGUAACCUCCAAUACCUAAUUAGAAUACAUCAAAAAGAGGAGAAAAGUCGUAACAUGGUAAGUGUACUGGAAAGUGCACUUG
rnacentral:ncRNA from 1 species